GAUGAACGCUGGCGGCGUGCCUAAUACAUGCAAGUCGAGCGAACGGACGAGAAGCUUGCUUCUCUGAUGUUAGCGGCGGACGGGUGAGUAACACGUGGAUAACCUACCUAUAAGACUGGGAUAACUUCGGGAAACCGGAGCUAAUACCGGAUGAUAUUUUGAACCGCAUGGUUCAAAAGUGAAAGACGGUCUUGCUGUCACUUAUAGAUGGAUCCGCGCUGCAUUAGCUAGUUGGUAAGGUAACGGCUUACCAAGGCAACGAUGCAUAGCCGACCUGAGAGAGUGAUCGGCCACACUGGAACUGAGACACGGUCCAGACUCCUACGGGAGGCAGCAGUAGGGAAUCUUCCGCAAUGGGCGAAAGCCUGACGGAGCAACGCCGCGUGAGUGAUGAAGGUCUUCGGAUCGUAAAACUCUGUUAUUAGGGAAGAACAUAUGUGUAAGUAACUGUGCACAUCUUGACGGUACCUAAUCAGAAAGCCACGGCUAACUACGUGCCAGCAGCCGCGGUAAUACGUAGGUGGCAAGCGUUAUCCGGAAUUAUUGGGCGUAAAGCGCGCGUAGGCGGUUUUUUAAGUCUGAUGUGAAAGCCCACGGCUCAACCGUGGAGGGUCAUUGGGAACUGGAAAACUUGAGUGCAGAAGAGGAAAGUGGAAUUCCAUGUGUAGCGGUGAAAUGCGCAGAGAUAUGGAGGAACACCAGUGGCGAAGGCGACUUUCUGGUCUGUAACUGACGCUGAUGUGCGAAAGCGUGGGGAUCAAACAGGAUUAGAUACCCUGGUAGUCCACGCCGUAAACGAUGAGUGCUAAGUGUUAGGGGGUUUCCGCCCCUUAGUGCUGCAGCUAACGCAUUAAGCACUCCGCCUGGGGAGUACGACCGCAAGGUUGAAACUCAAAGGAAUUGACGGGGACCCGCACAAGCGGUGGAGCAUGUGGUUUAAUUCGAAGCAACGCGAAGAACCUUACCAAAUCUUGACAUCCUUUGACAACUCUAGAGAUAGAGCCUUCCCCUUCGGGGGACAAAGUGACAGGUGGUGCAUGGUUGUCGUCAGCUCGUGUCGUGAGAUGUUGGGUUAAGUCCCGCAACGAGCGCAACCCUUAAGCUUAGUUGCCAUCAUUAAGUUGGGCACUCUAAGUUGACUGCCGGUGACAAACCGGAGGAAGGUGGGGAUGACGUCAAAUCAUCAUGCCCCCUAUGAUUUGGGCUACACACGUGCUACAAUGGACAAUACAAAGGGCAGCGAAACCGCGAGGUCAAGCAAAUCCCAUAAAGUUGUUCUCAGUUCGGAUUGUAGUCUGCAACUCGACUACAUGAAGCUGGAAUCGCUAGUAAUCGUAGAUCAGCAUGCUACGGUGAAUACGUUCCCGGGUCU
rnacentral:rRNA from 1 species